rnacentral:rRNA from 1 species
GACGAACGCUGGCGGCGUGCCUAAUACAUGCAAGUCGAGCGAACCAAUGGGAGCUUGCUCCCUGAGGUUAGCGGCGGACGGGUGAGUAACACGUGGGUAACCUGCCUGUAGGACUGGGAUAACUUCGGGAAACCGGAGCUAAUACCGGAUAAUUUCUUUUCUCGCAUGAGGAGAGAUGGAAAGAUGGUUUUGCUAUCACUUACAGAUGGACCCGCGGCGCAUUAGCUAGUUGGUGAGGUAACGGCUCACCAAGGCGACGAUGCGUAGCCGACCUGAGAGGGUGAUCGGCAACACUGGGACUGAGACACGGCCCAGACGCCUACGGGAGGCAGCAGUAGGGAAUCUUCCGCAAUGGACGAAAGUCUGACGGAGCAACGCCGCGUGAGCGAAGAAGGCCUUCGGGUCGUAAAGCUCUGUUGUUAGGGAAGAACAAGUAUCGGAGUAACUGCCGGUACCUUGACGGUACCUAACCAGAAAGCCACGGCUAACUACGUGCCAGCAGCCGCGGUAAAAC